CUGCUCUUUGCCUUCAAUGGGGUGCAAUGGCUGCUUUGUAGCUAAGGAAGGCAAACGGGAAGGAAACCCACAUUUUUUUGAGCAUCUACUGUGUGCUAAGCACAAGUUUAAGCACUCUUUGUAUCUUAUCUCACUUAAUCUUUACAAUCACUCUUAAGAGCAGAAGUUUUUAUUUUGUAGAUAAGAAAACGAACAGUCAGAGAAUGAAGGCACUGAACCACUGUGAAAUGUGGAAUUCUGAUGGAAAUCCAGGUUAAGUGUCUCAGUCAUACCACAUUCUGUCCCAGACCCAGCCAGUGUUCAUGACCAGUGGUCCCUGUGAUGGGCAGGUAGGCUAAGGAGACAGGGAAUGCGCCUGUCCCAUUAGAGCCCAGAGCAAUGGAGCCUUCUCGGAGACUCCCAUGGGUAAGCAAAGGCAAAUCAACAGAGCACAUUUCCAGUGAAUGCUGGACUUUGUCUGCCAGUGCUUUAGAACCAGAAGGAAUGUUUAUAAAAUGUCAACGUCAGAACAAAUCGGUACCAUCUGAGCCAAAAGGAUAAUGGUGAGUGGUGGCCAGGUGGGAUAUUCAAGCACAGUGAUCAAACAGGGGCCUCUUUCUAGGAGACCCUCAGCAGGAUCUAUGGGAACUGGCCAGUCUGGACUGGCCAUUUCAGUUUCUGAGUUUCCAAAUGUUUCAUGUCCCAGGGGCUUGGUGGCAGGGUAGUGGGAGAGGGAGAUGGUCUAGGUCCCCACCUGACUCAUUCUUCUCGAUGAUGUCCACCACCUGCCCCACGCUGAGGCUGAUCUCCGAACUCUCCUGCUUCUGGUAGUUGGCUACCACCACAUACUGCUCCAGGACCAUGGGGUCCACUGAGGUUUGGUCACCCCCUGUGGAUAGGAAACAGACAUGACAUCUGGCCACCACUCAUGCAUGAAAGAGCAGGAGUCAGAGCAGUAGGGCGGGUCAAGAGGACGUUCCAAAUAAAAAAGCAGCAGUUACAGGACUCAUCUCAAGGGUGACUUCAUCCAUUCAUUGUUCUAUUCAUGUGCUUACUCAACCACCAAAAUUGACCAAGUGCUAUUUGCAGGCACUGGGGGUUCAGAGUUGAUUAAGAUAUGGUACCUGCUCUGAAGAUGUUGACAGCCUAGAGGGAAAGCUCAUUCAUUCAUACUUAGCCAUCCCUCCAUCCAUCUGUCCAUCCAUCCAUCCAUCCAUCCUCCAUUAUCCAUCCAUCCAAACAUUCAUCUAUCUGCCGUCCAUUCAACCAUCUAUCCACUCAUGAUAUAUCAAAUUAAACACCAUCAUCCAUCAACCAUCUCAUCACCCAUCCAAAAUCACUCGCCUAUUAAUCUAUGAAAUCACCAGUGAUGUUCCAGAUACUCUAAAGAGUACAACGGUGAAUAAAACAGCUGUGACUCCCAGCCUCAAGUAACUCAAUCUAGUCACAGAGAGAGACAUGUACAUAAGUAUAUAUAAUUAAUAAGAUAUAGAAUUAUGUAAGCGUUAGUUUAUGAAAAAUUGAUGGAAACAACCAGGAUGCUGGGACAGAGAAUGAAGGGGAAAGACAAUGCUACAUUUAACGGGGUGGCUGGCAAGACCUCCCUAAGGAGGUGACAUAACGCAGGGACCCGAGAGAGGAGGAGGGGUCAUGAAGAGAAUGGGGGAAGAGCAGCGUAGGCACACUCUGAGAUGGGAAAGGACUUGGGGUCUUCGGGACUGGAAGGAGGCUAGGUGAGGAAGUGCAUGGAAAGAGUGGUUCUGAGUGAGGU
rnacentral:lncRNA from 10 species